UGAACAUAAGGUCAUUCCUCAGCUGGCGCACAGAUGAGAACUGACUUCUGAGAAGCUACAAGGAUUGUUUGGCAAGAGGCCUGGAAUGACUCACGGCACAUGCAGAUGACACAAUAUUGCAAAGAGUUCAGGAGAACAUUCUUUCCAUUUCUGUGCAGAAUGCAAUGACUGCAACCACAGGGCUCUGGAAGGUCUUCGGAGGUGGAGGUGCUGGCCAUGCCUGCCGGAGUUCAUCUUUGUAGAAUGCAGCAGCACAGUGGAGGGAAGGUGGCUACUUCACAAAAAUCUGUGGGCAGCAACUUAAACGGUGAAACCACAGACUAAGACAUAUCUGUGAACCCCAGUACGGCAAUGAGAUGAAGCAAGAUUUGUCCACGUGCAGUGGAUAUGUCUACCAUUACUAAGCCAAAGAGGACACAGACAGAGGAAUCCCGCUGGUUCCCCUCUGCCCAUCCCUAUUAACCCCUGUGCUCAGACUCCGAGGGCAGAGAGCAGGUGAGAAGAGCAGAGUGGAGCUGGAGGGCAAGUGGAGAAUGUCCUGCACAGCUGGAAGAUACGUAAAACCAGACCUUUGAAAAAGAAAAUCAAACAGAGCGUUUGUUCAAUGGGAACCUGACAUCUGCCCCGUGGCUUCCUCAUCUGUGUAUAAAGAUUGACUGACCAUACCCUCUCCUUUGCUGCUUAUUUGUGGCUCCCUUGUAUCUGCAAGUGAAGAGAGGUACGAUAACUUCUAGCUGGAGAGACCUCAGCAGAAGAAUACUGUGAAAGUUCUGGGAAAGCUUUUGCUUUCUUGAUCAAAGCUACAGAGAAGGUACUGAUGUCUUUCCCUCUUAUUGCUGCUUUUAACAAGUAUACAAUGCCCAAAGUGGUGAUAACUAUCUUAUAACAAAGUGACAACAAGGAUAGAAGGUGCUGGUCCUGAAAUCAUCAAGCCAUUGAUCCAAUGCCAAUAGUGCCUACCUUCAGAUAUUUUAAGUGAGAAAAACAACUACUGAUUGUUUUCUAAGUCUUUGUAAAUUGAGAGCUUGGUGUUUGAUCAGACAUGGGCUGAGUGGAGUGGGUUUGACAUCUCAACUGCUGUCGGGAGUAGCUGGGUGGAAGAUGCCAUUUACAGACACAGGAAACUAUGGAACUGAAGCAGAUUUGGGGACAAAACUCAAAAUUUAGACUCAAUAGUUUAAAUUAAAUUAAGGUAUCCAUGAGACAGUUAUGAGGAAAUAUAGAAUGGGAAGUUGUAUUUAUGUGUCUAAAAGAAAGACCCAACCUAGAAAUAAAAAAUUUAGAAAUAUAUAAGAUGACGAUUCAAGUCUUAGGAGUAAGAUCAGAUCUUCUGUUUUAUUUAAAGAAGACUAUCAAGGACAGUCUGAGAACUCCAACAUUUAGAGCUUAGUCAGAAGGAGGGAAGCCCUCAAAGGCAGAGCUGGCAAAGAACCAGGUGGAGGUCUAGAGAAGAGUGCAUUUUGAGAAAGGAACAGGUAUCAGGUUUUGGUGCUAUGGAGAAGUAAAGUAAGAUGUUGGUCACUGAUGAUGUUUAGGAGGAAAAACUAGUUCUUGGUGGGUGAUCUGAUAUUUCAAGAAAGUGGUAUGCCUGUUAUAAAAGGAUGUCAUACCCAGCAUAGCUUUUCUCUGUGAGAACAGUGCCCAAACUUUAUUUGUUACUGGCACAAUUUAAAUAUUAACUAAGAAUAAACGCAAGGACUAUUUCUUUCUCGCUUCUUGUUUCAUCUGUAAAUGUUGUUGUUUUUAAGAUCUGUUGGAACAUCUAUUAAUGAAAAAGUCACAAGAAAGAAAAUAUGUAAAGAAAAGAGAAAGAGAAAAAGGAGUAAAAGUCAAUUUCUUAUUUCCAGAAUGUCAUAAUUAGAUUAAAAUAAUGGUCCUAAAUAUUGAGUUAGAAAUGAAAAAUUUUAUUUAAAAAUUCAGAUGGUUUCUCUAUUCUUUGUCAUUAGACUUACUGGCCAAAAACUGAAAAAUGUGCUGAAAGUCGGUUAAGGAACAAAGUGUCUGAGAGAAUGUCAUUGAGAUGACUGAACCAUAGAGACGACGAUUUGAAAGUUAAUCUGCCUCUUAUUUAAGAAUUACUUGGAGUGAGUUACUUAAUCUGAGUCUUGAAGCUCCCAUUUGUAUGAUGCAGACAAGAAUGACCACCUUGAAGACCAUCUGUGAAGAUGAACUAAGAAAUGAGGGUGUUGAACUAAUCUCUAAGACCCUCCCCAAAGUGCCUUACUUGAGCCUAUGGCUUCAGUACAGGCUCUCCUGUCACUCAGGAAGCACUUCAUGAUUUCCUCUGCAUUGUUUUGAAUUUGGUUUUGGUUUUUUUUUUCAUUUUCAUGGCAAGUAAGGCCUUGAUUACUUCAGAUGGCCGGGUGAACUGAAAUUUGGAAGGACUGAACAAAAUAUUUCCUCUAAAGGAAUACACUUCCAGGAUGCAGGCAUCUCUCCCCUAUAAUGGGUUAGGACUUAAAGUUCAGCGUCUUCUGCUGACAUCAGUUCUAAUAUUCACUGUCAGCUGCUGCCUUUGUCAGCAUUACAUAAGAGUCAGCAGUGAUAUUAUUCUGUUGUUGACUGGGUGCUAUUUCUGCAUGUGCAUUGCCAAACCACACUUAGGUUUAGUUAUGGUUAUAUUUAACCUUAUUCUUCUCAGUAAACCUUUUAAGGCAUUACAAAAAGGAAUCCUUUCUCUCAGUGAGAUAGAUUUUUAUAACUGCUGGAAACUUUAGGUUUCCUUCAGGAUUCAAUAAGAAGAUGGUAUGUUGAUAACUCUAACCCUGGAUCAGCAUUUUCAAGACAUGGCUCCCAUUCCUCUUGGCACAUCUUGAACCAAUAGAAGAAACAUCUGAGGUCACAUGUAUUUUAGGGGAUUUAUCAAGAUACUAUCUCUAUAAUUCCAGAAGCAAGAAACACUUAAAUACACAGAAAUAAUCAAUACACAGAAAAUAAUCACUAGAUUCUGCCCUUUAUGUACUUAUAUUCCUUAGAAUAGAUAAGACCAGUAAAUGGCUUCAUAUCAACAAUAUAGCAAAUAACAUUUGAUCUGCAAGAGAAUUCAGGGAAGGAAGAGAUUAUUUCCAGUAGAAAAUAUUGCAGCUACAACACUAAAUCUAGACUCCUUGGAAUCUAAACUACAUUACAGUCUUUUCUCAAUCAUUCCUUACUUCGUUAUUUCCCUGUGUACUGGUAUAUAUUCCCCUGAUACCCUCUCUAUUCCCAAAUAACCAUAUGGUUUUGCACCUAUAAGUCUUUGCCCAUGCUCUUCCCUUCUCCAGAGAUACCCUUCUCCACCUGGUAAAAGCUAAUCAUUCUUUAAAGGCUGGUUAUUUUGUUGCCUCCCUGUGGUGUAUUUACUAACGCUUCCCUUAAUCAUCCUGACCUAUGGGGACCCUGAGCACCCUAUCAAGAAAUGUUCAUGAUGAACCAUUUUGCAUGAUGAGUGACAGAGUUAUUAUUUUAAUAUGUGCGUCUCUCCCCUCAAAAGUGAGAGCUCUUAUAAGGAAAGGACUUUGACCUAUUUAUUAUUGUAUUCCCAACAAUUGUCAAAACUCCUGCAACACAAUAAAUGCACAUAGUAAAUAUGAGUGGAAUAAGCUAGCAUAUGGCAUUUAUGUUAGGCCUUGAAGGAUUGCAUAUUGGCCAGACCAAGAAGAGUGAUUUCCGGUUACCCUACCCUCUCCUAGGGAAAUGACUGUUAUACCCACAGCCUUUCUCUAAAGCGUUUCAUACAUACCAAUCACCAUGUGAUUUUCUACCCUGGCCAUGGCUUACUGGAUCAAGGAUGGAGACUGAGCCCAAAGGCCUUCAUUUACAAAAGCCUCACAGGUGGUCAAGCAUAUUGCUCUGUCCUUUACUGAUUGGUGUACCAAUCAGAUCCUCUCAAGGAGUUCAAGCUCCAAACGCAAAGGGACAGCGUCAGCAUGAUCUUUAGGAGAGGCAGAGACAGAGUUGCUGAUUCAUCAUGUGAUGAAGCAGAAGUGUUGAAGCCACAGAUUCUUGCUGCUGAGUAGUCAGUUACUCUGGUUGCUGGAUAUAUGUGUGUCCAGAACCAUAUUCAAGGACCCAUAUUCCUGACUAAACUGGCUAAGAUAACACUGAGUCAUUUUUUCUGUUUCAUGCUACCUAUAAAAAACCUAAACAGGUAGAGAAGAGAAAGUAUGAGUAAUAAUAAAACUUAUUUUUAUUGCUGUUAUGGACUGAAUAUUUGUGUCCUCUCCAUAUUAAAAGGUUGAAGCCCUAACUCCCCGUAUGGCUGUGUUUGGAGAUGCAGCCCCUAAGGAAGUAAUGAAGGUUGAAUGUGUCAUAAGAUGGGGCCCCGAUCUGAUAGAAUUGUCCUUAUAAGAAGAGACACCAGAGAGCUCUCUCUCUUGCUUUGCGUACAUGCACCGAGGAAAGACCACUUGAGGACAUAGUGAGAAGGUGGCCAUCUGCGAGACAGGAAGAGAACCCUCACUAGAAACCAAACCCUGCCAGACUUUGGUCUGGGACUUCCAGCCUCCAGAACUGAGACAAUGAAUUUCUGUUGUUUAAGCCACCCAGUCUGUGGUAUUUUGUUAUGACAGUUUGAGCAGAUUAAUAGAGAUUUUUGGUUCUGUGAAUUGGGGUGCUUCUGUAACAAAUGCUUAAAAACACAGACAUGGCUUUGGAAUAGGGUGACGUGUAGAGGCUGGAGAAUUUUGAAAUGUGUGGUAGCAAAAGCCUAGAUUGCCCUGAAGGGACUGUUGGUAGAAAUAUGGAUGUUAAAGCCUAUUCUGGUGAGAGCUCAGAAAGAAAAGAGGAGAACUAUAGAGCCAACCUCUAUCAUCUUAGAGAAUAUAUGUAUCAUCAGGAACAGAAUGUUAGUAGAAAUGUGGACCUUAAAGACCGUUAUGGUGAGGUCUCAGAUGGAAACAAGGAAUGUGCUGUUGGAAGCCAGAGGAAAGGCAAUCUUUGGUAUAUAGUUGCAAAGAACUUGGCUGAAUUGUGUUCCAGUGUCUUUGGAAGGAGGAACUUGCGAAGGAUGAAAUUGGAUAUUUAGCUGAGGAGAUUUCCAAACAAAGUGUUGGCAGUGCACACUUCUUUCUUCUCCUUACUCUUUGUAUCAAAAUGCAAGAGGAGAGAGAUAAAUUGAAGUGAUUGUUAAGCAAAAGAGAAUCAGAACUUGAAGAUUUGGAAAAUUCUCAGCCUAUCCUUAUUGCAAAAAGAAAGAGAAAAUACGUUCUCAAGAGAACACUAAGGGUGUGGCUGAACAGCCACUUGAUAAGGAGACUAGUAUGGGUAUGAGACAUAAGUAUAAUCAGGCAUCUCAGCAAAAUCAAGGAAUAGAGAUGGGAUUUUAUCAGCAGAGACAACUCCAAUUUGGUCCAAAGGUACAGGAUGGGAGUAUAGAGCUAUCCAGCUGCAAAUAUGCGUUAUCAUUCAGGAAAAGGGAAGCAUGAACCCAAAGGUGAUUCAGGGAUCAUCAGGGCUUCCACUCCCACCACUGGCCCAGAGUGCACAGGCCCAAGGGGAAAGCCUGUCAUCACUUUGGUUUGAAAGGAUGGGGCCACUGCCAAGGUUUAAACAAGUCAGGCUGCUACCACCAGUAGCCUUGACGGUCAGGCCACCCGGAACCUUGGGGGUUGGACUUCCUACCAAAUCCUGGGGGCUAGGGCCACCUGGCAGAGCUGUGAGUUUUUACAAUCUUGCCCCGUAGAGACGCAGGCUACUGUCUAGGGCUGUGAGGUCAGGGUCUUCACCCCAGUAGGUCCAGAAGGAGGAGCAUCAAAUCAAAGAGGAUUAUUCUCAGGCCUUAAGAUCUAAUAUAAUUUGCCUUGCUAGGUUUUGGACUUGCUUGGGACCUGUCACCCCUUUCAUCCUUCCAAUUUCUCUCUUUUGGAGUGGGAAUGUCUAUCCUAUGUCUCUCCCACCAUUGUAUUUUGGAAGCACAUAAUUUAUCUGGUUUCACAGUUUCACAGCUAGAGAAGAAUUUUGCCUCAGGAUGAAUCAUACCUCAGGUCUCACUUAGACUUGAUUUAGAUGCUAUUUAGUUGAGACUUUGGACUUUAGAUUUUGGACUAGAAGGUGGAAUGAGUUAAGACUUUUGGGGCUGUUGGGAUGGAAUGAAUGUAUUUUGCAUGUGAAAGAAAAUGAAUUUGGGGAGGUCAAGGGCAGAAUGUUAUGGACUUAAUAUUUGUGGCCCUCUAAAGUUUGUAUGUUGAAGCCAUAACCCCUAUUGUGGGCAUAUUUGGAGAUGGGGCCUCUAAGCAAGUAAUUAAGGUUAAAUGAACUGAUAGAAUUAGUGUCCUUAUAAGAAGAGACCCCAGAGAACUCUCUCUCUCUCUCUGUGUAUAUGUGCACUGAGGAAAGGCCAUGUGAAGACAUAUGAGAAGGCAGCCAUCUGCAAACCAGGAAAAGAGUUCGCACCAAGAACUGAACCCUGCUAGACCUUGAUGUGGGACUUCCAGCCUCCAUAACUGUGGGAAAAUAAAUUUGUGCCAUUUAAGUCAUCCUGUCUGUUAUGGCAGCCUGAACUGACUAAGACAAUUGCCUACAAAAAUAAUGUAUAUUAAUUAUAGAAAAUUUGAAAAAUAUAAAAACACACAAAGAAGAAAAAACUUAACCAUCUAAAUAACCCCAAGAGAUAAUUGCUGUUCACAUUUUUGGUAUAUAGCUCAUACAAGCACUUAAAGGGUACAUUCGAGUUUGAGUUCCUUAUCAUCUAGCUAGUGAGAAACAAUUGAAGGUGGCAGUCAAAAGUGUGCUUCAGAAAGAGAUCUGGCUGUUCUCUGGGUAGGAUUGUAAAGUCUAGAGAUAAUUGGGACAAGUUAGAGGUUAUUUAAUCACAUUAGGCUAUGCCACAAAGGUUUUAAAUAGGAUAUUGAAAUACGAAAAAUGAGGCAUGUACAUAAGACAUUUGAGAAGCACAAAUGCUAUUGCAUGACAAUGUCCGAAUGUGAGGAUAAGGGUUAUGGAGAGAAGUCAAAUAUGAUGGACCUUUUGGGUACCAAAAAAUACAAACACUAAAAAAAAUUUAACACAUUUA
ensembl:lncRNA